rnacentral:rRNA from 1 species
AAACGUUGCCUCGGCGGGAACAGACGGCCCCGUAACACGGGCCGCCCCCGCCAGAGGACCCCCUAACUCUGUUUCUAUAAUGUUUCUUCUGAGUAAACAAGCAAAUAAAUUAAAACUUUCAACAACGGAUCUCUUGGCUCUGGCAUCGAUGAAGAACGCAGCGAAAUGCGAUAAGUAAUGUGAAUUGCAGAAUUCAGUGAAUCAUCGAAUCUUUGAACGCACAUUGCGCCCGCCAGUAUUCUGGCGGGCAUGCCUGUUCGAGCGUCAUUACAACCCUCAGGCCCCCGGGCCUGGCGUUGGGGAUCGGCGGAAGCCCCCUGCGGGCACAACGCCGUCCCCCAAAUACAGUGGCGGUCCCGCCGCAGCUUCCAUUGCGUAGUAGCUAACACCUCGCAACUGGAGAGCGGCGCGGCCACGCCGUAAAACACCCAACUUCUGAAUGUUGACCUCGAAUCAGGUAGGAAUACCCGCUGAACUUAAGCAUAUCAAUA